rnacentral:rRNA from 1 species
GAUGAACGCUGGCGGCGUGCCUAAUACAUGCGAGUCGAGCGAACAGACGAGGAGCUUGCUCCUCUGACGUUAGCGGCGGACGGGUGAGUAACACGUGGAUAACCUACCUAUAAGACUGGGAUAACUUUGGGAAACCGGAGCUAAUACCGGAUAAUAUAUUGAACCGCAUGGUUCAAUAGUGAAAGACGGUUUUGCUGUCACUUAUAGAUGGAUCCGCGCCGCAUUAGCUAGUUGGUAAGGUAACGGCUUACCAAGGCAACGAUGCGUAGCCGACCUGAGAGGGUGAUCGGCCACACUGGAACUGAGACACGGUCCAGACUCCUACGGGAGGCAGCAGUAGGGAAUCUUCCGCAAUGGGCGAAAGCCUGACGGAGCAACGCCGCGUGAGUGAUGAAGGUCUUCGGAUCGUAAAACUCUGUUAUUAGGGAAGAACAAAUGUGUAAGUAACUAUGCACGUCUUGACGGUACCUAAUCAGAAAGCCACGGCUAACUACGUG